rnacentral:tRNA from 1 species
GGUUAAAUAACAUAAUGGCUAAUGUAUUAGAUUGCAAAUCUAUUAAUGACAGUUCGAUUCUGUCUCUAACCU